CAGUAGCCACGGUAAUACGAAGGGGGCUAGCGUUGUUCGGAAUUACUGGGCGUAAAGCGCACGCAGGCGGCUCGAUAAAUUAGAAGUGAAAGCCUUGGGCUUAACCUGAGAAUUGCUUUUAAGACUGUCGAGCUAGAAUCCAGAAGAGGGUAGUGGAAUUCCGAGUGUAGAGGUGAAAUUCGUAGAUAUUCGGAAGAACACCAGUGGCGAAGGCGACUACCUGGUCUGGCAUUGACGCUCAUGUGCGAAAGCGUGGGGAGCAAACAGGAUUAGAUACCCCAGUAGUCCCUGUCUCUUAUAC
rnacentral:rRNA from 1 species